UCCUUGUUGUUUUUCUCAUUUUAUUGCUAAAGCAAGUACAAGUUUGCACAUUCAAACAAAACAAGUCAGAAUCCAACAGGCCUGAAGGACUUCUGAUAAACCGGGGCAGGUUUGAAACAAACAGGAGCCCAAAUCCUUGACCCUGGAUGGCCCAGAAUAGAUUGAACAUUGUAUCUCUCAAAAACAUAUAGGCUUUCAUUUCCGUUCACAGGCAAAUAUUUAAUUCACCUUGUGAUCAAACAGAUUGAAAUAGGCCUUUUUUUUUAUCAAAUAAAACUGUAUAUUUACUUCACCUACUAUUUCUUAAAAGGUGUUCUUGUGAUUGGGCAACCGCACACAUAUUAUUGCUAGUGACUUUGCGUGCAGCAACAUUAAACCAUGAUUGUUGGACCGCAACUUCCUGUAUGAUGCGGUCUGUAGUGAUCUGGCUGCCUUCCUGUAUUCCGCAUAUCAAACUCAUAAUAAUCCCAAUAUUAAUAAUAAUAAUAAUAAUACAUUUUAUUUAUAUAACAACUGUGUAUGACUGUCAUGCUCUCUGAUUGUGUCUGGAGAGUAUAUAUUAUAUACCGAUUAUAAAUGUGCCAGUGGUCAGAUUUAAGCACCGAUAGUGUAUGAUGGCUGGAUAUGACGUGCACGGCUUGGUGUCUCAUCAGGCAUGGUCUGGGAAUCAAACAGCUAGGCGGUGUGAAAGUGCAUGUGUGUGAAUUGACAUCGAUGACCACCUUGUUGAAACCAUGUUAGAAGCCAUGUUAGGGUGUGAAGCUAAUCACAGAUUGGGUUCAUGUCUAAGGGUAUAGGAGUGUAAAAAAGCCUGUUUGGUAUCUAUCCUCUAUCAAGCCCCCUAUAUAUUUACAAAAAAUAUAUUUUAGAUGUGGUUUAUCUGUGGUUUAAUUAAGGAUCAAUUAAUGAGGUCCUUUAUUAUCUUCAGAGGUGGGUGUGAAGUUUGGGCCUCGCUGAUGGUGUCCAGGUGAUCACUGCACCUGACGGCCUGCUGGCUGGGGUCAGGUGGGGGGGUGGGUGGUUGUUGAGGGGGGGGUUCUCUGGUUAGGGUCUCAUGCCUGCUGAAGCUGUAAAGAAGACAGAAUUAUAAAUCUCUGGGUCACAACACUUACACUUAAAAAUGAAGUCCAUCAGAGUUAAUAAAGUGCUAACACAAUGUAGAAACAUGUGGGUGAGUAAAUACUUGAGUGUGUAAUCAUGUGUGUGGGAGACACACACAUGUCCUGUGCAUGUGUUUAUUCUUAACUAAUCGCAUUGCAUGUGUGUGUGUGUGUGUGUUUUAGUUUGAGCACGUUUGUUUACCACUAUAUAUCCGAAACCCCCCCCCUCU
ensembl:lncRNA